rnacentral:rRNA from 1 species
UGGGGAAUAUUGCACAAUGGGCGCAAGCCUGAUGCAGCCAUGCCGCGUGUGUGAAGAAGGCCUUCGGGUUGUAAAGCACUUUCAGCGAGGAGGAAGGUGGUGAGCUUAAUACGCUCAUCAAUUGACGUUACUCGCAGAAGAAGCACCGGCUAACUCCGUGCCAGCAGCCGCGGUAAUACGGAGGGUGCAAGCGUUAAUCGGAAUUACUGGGCGUAAAGCGCACGCAGGCGGUUUGUUAAGUCAGAUGUGAAAUCCCCGGGCUCAACCUGGGAACUGCAUUUGAAACUGGCAAGCUAGAGUCUCGUAGAGGGGGGUAGAAUUCCAGGUGUAGCGGUGAAAUGCGUAGAGAUCUGGAGGAAUACCGGUGGCGAAGGCGGCCCCCUGGACGAAGACUGACGCUCAGGUGCGAAAGCGUGGGGAGCAAAACAGGAUUAGAUACCCUGGUAGUCCACGCUGUAAAACGAUGUCGAUUUUGGAGGUUGUGCCCUUGAGGCGUGGCUUCCGGAGCUAACGCGUUAAA